rnacentral:rRNA from 1 species
CCUACGGGCGGCAGCAGUGGGGGAUAUUGCACAAUGGGGGAAACCCUGAUGCAGCGACGCCGCGUGUGGGAAGACGGUCCUCUGGAUUGUAAACCACUGUCCCCAGGGACGAAAAUGACGGUACCUGGGGAGGCAGCUCCGGCUACCUACGUGCCAGCAGCCGCGGUAAUCCGUAGGGAGAGGGCGUUGUCCGGAAUUACUGGGUGAAAAGGGAGCGUAGGCGGGGAUGCAAGUUGGGUGGAAAAACGACCGGCUCAACUGGUAGUCGCACUCAAAACUGCAGCUCUUGAGUGAAGUAGAGGCAGGCGGAAUGCCUAGUGUAGCGGUGAAAUGCGUAGAUAUUAGGAGGAACACCAGUGGCGAAGGCGGCCUGCUGGGCUUUUACUGACGCUGAGGCUCGAAAGUGUGGGGAGCAAACAGGAGUAGAUACCCUUGUAGUC